GUGGUUAUCUGUUUUCUUAACUGUUCUUAAAAAGUUGGAAAGAAACAGUUGUAUAGGAUAACCAUAAAACAAUUGGAAAUUGCCGACAGUUCAUUGUGAGAUAUGAAUGAACUGUGCGAUGUUUCCAUACAAA